UAGUGAACACAACAUUGUCAGUCACUUGCCCCUUCACGCAUGGAAACCCAGCGGAAACGAGAUUCACAUGGUUCCGCGGAAAUACUUCAGCAAAUGGAUCUCAUCAAAAUCAUUCUCUGUCUAGUGUGCAACUCUCAGACGAAGGCUACUACAAACGCAAAGUCAACACCACUAUGAACCCUACGGUAUGUGCCACUCAGGAGGCAUACGACGAAACAACAUUUUACGCGGAUGUGCAAUAUCCUGCUAAGUAGAUUUUAUUCUGGCGGGUCUGUUUUCGAGUCUAGUAUAACUUUCAACGAAAGUCAGACUGUGACGCUUCUCUGUGAAGCUGACAGCGACCCUUGAGCCAAAAUAGAAAUCGUUAAUAUUACUAAAAGUGAAGAGCUCUUAUUGGUGGAAGCUCACAAUAACACAAUAUCCGCUCGUGUGUUGAAUACGAGAUGUGAAUUUGAUAUGGGAGUCUACCAGUGUACAGGAGAGAACAUCCAUUAAACAGUUCAACAGGUUCAAGCAAUAAAUAUCAGAAUAACAUGUUCACCGAGAUCUUUACCAUUUUCUGCACCUGUUGCCACAGUAUAUAGAAGGAUAAAUGAAACAGCUAUUUUAUCGUUCACUGUCGUGGCCUAUCCUCCCACAAUUGACGCUUCAGCAUAUGAUUGGCGUAAGCAGGUAGAUAGCGAAUGGAAAUCACUGCACAAUAACAGCAGGUUUCAGAUGAGUAUAUCAAACGACAGGCUGCAGACAAACCUUUCCAUAUCGCAACUUCAAAUUGACAAUUUUACAAACUUUUAGGUCCGUGUGAACAAUAACGUCGGACCUUCAGAGCAAACAUUUGAGCCGCCUUCUAUGCCGCAACAAUUUCUUGUCGUCGACGCCAUUGCGACUGAAAGUUCCGUCGCAGUUCAAUGGACACCUGGAUUUAAUGGGGGUGAAGACCAACGGUUCGUAAUCUGUUACAAAAAGGCAGCAGAUGAAAUCUAGACUUACAUUAACAUAGUUUCAACAGUUACUCAAUGGAGUAUUGAUGAAUUAGUUGCGGGCACCACGUAUGACAUAAAAAUGUAUGCUUAAGAAUAUAAUCGGAAAAUCGAAUGAUACCGAUGUAAGUGUGACAACAAAGUAUGUUAUUUCAGGUACGUUUUAAAUUACUGCAUUUGAUAGUUUGAUCUGUAUAAAAUAUUAUUAAAUUACAUAUUUUAAAUUGUUGCGAUAAACAACUGGACGACAAUUUCACGCAUUUGCAUAUUUAAGAUGAUAUCGUGUCAGUAGGCUUCAUAUUCAACUGGUAUUUACAGCAGGGCCAUCGUACCAACAGCCAGAAAUAUCAACGAUCUUCUCCAUCUGUCGUGGCUGCAGCGGGAGGUGCUGUAAGCGGAACGCUCCUGACAGUCAUCUUGUUGAUACUCUGGAAAUAGAGAAAAGCGUUUAAACGUAAACCUGGCAAAGGUGCUCAUUACGAUGACCUGUUCAAUAGACAGAACGUUACAUUUUGUAUUUGUUUGGAUGAACAUUCGAGUUUGCAAUAUUUGUUUCCAACUCAUUGGCAUUGUACGUUAACAUUGUUCUGCGUAGUUAAGUUGUUUAUUAUUCUGCGUGAUGAAUGCAGCAAUAUAAAUCAGGACAUGUCU